rnacentral:rRNA from 1 species
GAUCAUGGCUCAGGAUGAACGCUAGCUACAGGCUUAACACAUGCAAGUCGAGGGGCAGCAUAAUGGAUAGCAAUAUCUAUGGUGGCGACCGGCGCACGGGUGCGUAACGCGUAUGCAACCUACCUUUAACAGGGGGAUAACACUGAGAAAUUGGUACUAAUACCCCAUAAUAUCAUAGAAGGCAUCUUUUAUGGUUGAAAAUUCCGAUGGUUAGAGAUGGGCAUGCGUUGUA